rnacentral:rRNA from 1 species
UACGUAGGGUGCAAGCGUUGUCCGGAAUUAUUGGGCGUAAAGGGCUCGUAGGCGGUCUGUUGCGUCGGGUGUGAAAACUCAGGGCUUAACCCUGAGCCUGCUUCCGAUACGGGCAGACUAGAGGUAUGCAGGGGAGAGCGGAAUUCCUGGUGUAGCGGUGAAAUGCGCAGAUAUCAGGAGGAACACCGGUGGCGAAGGCGGUUCUCUGGGCAUUACCUGACGCUGAGGAGCGAAAGUGUGGGGAGCGAACAGG